UUUUUUUUUCAUUUUCAUUGGCUGCCUUACCUGGAGAGCUCGGUCACCUAUUCUCCAAUAAUCCUUUCAGAGUAACCUGCCUUAAGCUUUCCAGUUCUGCAGCCCUGUAUAAAUUGACCUCAAUCACCAGUUAGUUCCUGGUUCGAUGGAAGAAAGGACCAAAAUUCCACAAGGUUGCACUUGUGGAAGGGAACUGCCAGACCCAGGAUUCCAGGAGAGCAGCCUGCCUCCCCUCCCGUGUGGCUCUCCAUCCCUCACCCCAGAAAAAGCCCCCCUUCCCCAAAAAGUAAAGUCAGUCCCCAUGGCAUGCCCACAAGCGUAGGCUGACGAUGGCGGUAUUUUGGAUUUUUAUGCUCUUAAGAAGAGGUCAUGGCACUAAAGCAGACACUUUUAGAUCAUUGCUUUAUUUUGCUAUUUGUUCAACAAAGUUCAUUCCUCUCGAGGUGGAUCUUGAGUCGUUCCUGGUGUUCCUCAUUCCGAAUAAAAAAGGUAAUGAAGAAAAAGCCUGUACUUUUGGAGACCUAGAAUUUUAUUGAUGCUAAGAAGCUUUUGACUGCAAUUUCAUGUUCGGAUAUUUCCUGCUGGCAUCUCGGUGGUCACACGGAGCUCCCCACCCUCCAGUGAAGAUGGCUGUCCACUACUACCACCGUUGAAACCAAAACAGCAGGGGUGCCAACAAUGAAAUGCAGAUGGCUUUGGGAGAGAGCGAUCCAGAACACCACACCCUGGAACCAGUACUGGGAACCUCCCCUCUCACAUCCCUCCAUCUCCCCAACUGCUACCCUAAAAAUUACAUAGGUAAUACAUGCCCAGGAUUUAACAUUUUCACAAGGUUCAGAGUUCUAGAAGGGAACCACUGGUACCAGUUUCUGAGUAGCCCUCCAGAGAAAUUGUUGAUGUAUGUGUGUGUAUUUGUAUUUAUGUUUGAAGGAGGUAAGGCAGAGAGCCUGGGGGAUCGCAUGUUAGCAGGUGCAUUUGCUUGUACACAUAGACCGUCUAGAAACUGUGAGCACCAGUUGCCUCUGGGGAAGGGAACUCUCCCCUUUGGGAGCUGUUGCAUUUGGAGGUGCAUAUGUCAUCCAUCUGCAGAGGAAGCCUCUUAGGUACUACCUCUUCUUCCUAAACUUGUGAGUCCCCAAAGCCAAAUGACAGUCGUAGAGCCCCUUCGUCGUGGCCCCGUGGGGACCUCACCUUGUUGACCUGGGACAGCGGGGUCCUCACAGCCCCCACAGGCAGCCGGCCCCUGCUGCUGUCCUCGAACAGCCGUCCCGGGGAGCGCUCCCGCCGCGUGCUGAGCAUCCGGCCUGGGGACUUCUCCCGUUCCAGGGGGCGGCCCGGGGACUUGUCCCUGCGCAGCUCUGUCCGCCCCUCGCGAUAGCGGUGGGGUGUGCUUGGCUCUCUUGGGUGGCUGGGGCCUUCGGGGGGCGCCGGGCUGGAGGCCACACGCUUGGUGAUGUGCUCGUUGUAGGUCGGCGGGCCUCGCUUGUUAGGGCUGCUGGCAAUGGGGGGGAGGGGGGAAAGAGCUGAGAAGUCACAACCCCAAAAGGGCAUGUUCUUACCCUGAUCCCACCCCUAGUUAUGAGGCAAAGAAGGCAAAGGUGACAGCAAAGGGAAAGCACGCUUCCUGGCCUUGACACUGACUUUUUGCUGAGCACCCUCAGUGCUAAGCUCUCCAUCACUGCAACCACACCACAAGCAAGGAACAAGCACGGCCCUUGAGGUACGGUCGAGAUGCAGACACAGAAAGGCUGAGAUUCCAGUACAGGUCACUCUGAUGUCCUAGUCCCCAAACUAUAUCCCCUAGACCUAGGAUCUUCCAGAGCCUAGAGGGCACAUUUAGAGGUCAAGCUUAUACUCAUCACUGUCAGCUGCCAAAUCCAGCCCAUCCCUGGGCCUGUGUUGAGUCACCACUCCUUCCAGGUGGUUCUCCAAGAGCCUUAGUGGCAUCCAACGCCCAUGUGAGAGGUGUAGGUGUCAGGUCUGCUAGAACUCAGAGACAACGCAGACAAGACAGAGCUGGUUUGCCCCAAAGAUUUAUGGUUAAAGGCAGUAAGGCCUUUCUGUAGGAUCCAUCCAACCUUCCACCCAGCCCUGGCCUAGAUAUUUCAAAUGGAGAUUUCACCAGACAUGGCCCCAUCUACUCCUCUGAAGAAGAAAGACCUAGAAAUACUAGCAGAUCUGAAACACAGCCUUAGGAAUCAGUUCCUUCCUACCCUCACCCACCAGGAGCAGAGAAAGUACUCGGGCCCUCGUUAUCUGAGCAUAAUUAGUGCUGGGAAUAGGCAGCCUACUUAAUUAAAAGGGAAACAUUUCAUAGACAAUGUUACUUGAAGACAUAUUUUGAUUGGUUGGGCUUUAUCUUUGAAAAAUAGAAGAAAUCAGGAAAAUUUUAUCCUAGAUAUUUAAAAAAUCUAGAUUACAAUUGCAGUUGCAUGCCAAUUCUAAGAAUGAACCAAGUAUGAAUCACAUAAUGAUUUAUUCUGCUCUAAUUUUCUCACCAAAAUUGUAUGCUAACAUGCUAGAUGACAUCUUUCACCAUCAACGUUGGAUUUUUUACAGUAAAAUCAUAUAGUCAUUUCUUAAAUAUUUGAGAGUGUUACUGGUUUUCCCAAAGGCCUCGCUCACUCUUUUUUUUUUUUUUUCUUUUUUUUUUUGCUUUUUAGGGCUGCAUAGGGAAAUUCCUAGGCUAGGGGUCAAAUCAGAACUGCAACUGCCAGCCUACACCACAGCUUAGGGCAACGCGAGAUCCUUAACCCACUAAGGGAGGACACGGAUGGAAUCUCCCAUCCUCAUGGAUACUAGUCGGGUUCAUUUCUGCUGAGCCACAAUGGAAACUCCCCAAAGGCUUCUUUUUGAUAUUUAAGUCUUUUCCCUUUGGAAGAGACUAAACUUUUUCUUUAGAAGGGACUACAGUUUAAAUUAUUGCUCUAACUCUAGGGAACCUUUACUUUCUGUUUUCUUUUUUUUUUUUUUUUUUUUUUUUGCUGCACCCAAAGCAUGUGGAAGUUCCAGGUCUGGGAUUGAGUCCACACCUGCACCACAAAAGAACUUCAGACCCCUGUUUUUGCAGUGUCCAUAAUGAAAAAGUAAGUAAGCAGCAAAGAUGCUGACUCCUCCUGCCCCGGGGCAGGCAGGGAGAGAGGGGGGACUCUCUAGUGCAAGCCUGAGGGCCAAAUCCAGACUGGUGCCCGUCUUCAUUAAAUCCCCCUCUGGGAUGCACCAUGGCUGCUUUUGCAGUCCAAAAAGAAAGUUGAGAAUUGAGCUAGAGACCAUGUGACCUGCAACCCCCAAAAUAGUUACUAUUUACUAUUUGAACCUUUACGGAAAAAGUUUGCCAAUUCCUGCUGUACACUAAAAACAACUGGUGAGGAGUUCCCAUCAUGGCUCAGUGGUUAACGACUCCGACUAGGAACCAUGAGGUUGUGGGUUCAAUCCCUGGCCUCACUCAGUGGGUUAAGGAUCUGGUGUUGCCGUGAGCUGUGGUGUGGGUCCCAGAUGCGGCUCGGGUCCCGAGUUUCUGUGGCGUUGGCCGGCAGCUACAGCUCUGAUUAGACCCCUAACCUGGGAACCUCCAUAUACCGCGGGUGCAGCACUAAAAAAAAAAAAAAAAAUUGGUGAGCAGAGCAGAAAUAAUUGUCUUAAGUGGACAGUCCAUUGUGUGAACAGCUUCCUGUCAUACUCUUGCUUUCUCAUGCAACCUGAAAUGUGGAAAUUCCAACAAAUGCUCAGAAAGCCAGAACUCUCCUGUGUUGUGUGUGCAGGAGCAGAAUUUGAAGUAACUCAAAUUUCAACAUCUUGAGAUCAAGGUUUAUCCUUCUCUAGUCAGGUGGCUUUGUGAGAAGAACACACCGACAAAUGUCAAGAAGGAGAAUUACAUUACGCCUAUUUGUACUGGAAGAAAAAUAUUAACUGUGUCCACAGGGGCUGAUCAUAAAGCAAAUGAGAGAGUGCUCACUGCCCAAGGGAAGAAAGAUGGUUCAAAGAAGGCCAUUCGAGAUGUCGGCUUAGAUUAAUGGGAUGAAGGAAAACACUCAGCAUUCUAGCCCGCGCGGGCAAUCCUCCAGCCCCAUUUCUGUUAAUAACCAAUGAUCUACCACAUCAACUUAAUGCUUCUUGCAAAGAGUUACAUUUCCUGCUUGGCUAAACAGACCAAGGCAAAGUGACCUGCAGUGAAUCACAUUCCACAAAGCUGGCCUUCUACAUUCUGGACCUGCCCCAAGCAGUUAGCGGCAGAAAGACAGUUUUAUAAGCCUGGAGCCCACUGCAGACUGACUGCUGACUUUCCAAACAUGCCUGGCAACAGCAUUAUUUCUGUCCCUUGUUCAUAGGAACUGGAAUCAUUUUCAACCCCAAAGUAACUCCUUACAAAAGACACCAUAUCAUCUCAAAAGGCAAAUGCCUGGCCAUCUAACUAGAGAGUGAUAAAGAGGAAAAAAAUUAUGUUCUUGGCAUGACUUGGAAAUUAUUUAAGUAAAAUCCAAACAUCUUCAGGAGAGGACUUAUAGCCCUUUGAGCAGUCACUCUCGAGGCAGGGUCAAGCCGAAAGAGGAGUAGCUGGUUAUGAGGCACUUCUGGUUUUCCAGCAAGUUCCUGGGAUUAAAAUCACACUGACCAUACAUUUCAUACUAGCAUUUAUAUUUCAGCAAAAGAAAGAGUAUUCGUAGGACACAGUCUCAGAGCUUAGAAAAGAGUCAUCAAUUUAAUAUUCUAAGCGUUUUGUAACAUUAGAGUGGGUUCCUCAACUGUGAGGCCCUUGGGAAUCAAAACAAUGUCGUCUUCAUCUGUGUAUCUCCAGCCCAGACACAGUGUCUGGCACAUGGUACAGAGUCUGCGUAGCUCUUUACAGGGUAGACAUAUGGGGUUUGUAAAACCAGUCCACAAAAUUAAAAUCCUAAUUAAAUAUCCCCCUGGGUUAAAGAAGCUCAUCUCCUUUGUGGACCGAGAUCUUAAAAUUACACAUCUCAAACUGACACAUCCAACAGGCUCCUAGCUCUAGGUGUCAAGACAAAGCCAUUCCCACACGCAGCUGGUGGGAUAAGAAAAGGGUACAGCCUCCAGGGAGGACACCUCAGCAACAUUUGCCCAAAUUACAAAUGCAUAUCUGGAGUAGCCCAUCAACUCCUUUUCUAGAAAGUUACCCUCCAGAUAGAUUCCUAAGCAUGCAAAAUGACCUAAGUACAAAGUCAUUUACUAUAGGAAAAGAUAGGAAAUGACCCAAACAUCUUUUGAUAAAGGAGCAGUUAAAUAAGGUGAAGGAAUGCUAGGCAGGCAUUUCAAAAAGAAGAAGAAAUACUUCAUGUACUGACAUGGACCAACUGGCAAGAUACCUUAAGAUACAGAAGAGCGUGUACAGGGUCUAUCACCUGUAUUAAAAAGAAUAGGAAUUCUUGGAGUUCCUGUCGUGGCCCAGCGGUAAUGAAUCUAACUAGGAACCAUGAGGUUGUGGGUUUGAUCCCUGGCCUUGCUCAGUGGGUUAAGGAUCUGGUGUUGCUAUGAGCUGUGGUAUAGGUUGCAGACACGGCUCAGAUCUGGCAUUGCUGUGGCUGUGGUGUAGGCCGGCAGCUGUAGCUCCGAUAAGACCCCUAGCCUGGGAAUCUCCAUAUGCCUCGGGUAUGGCCCUAAAAAACAAACAAAAAAAGGAUAGGAAUUCUCAUUGUGGCUCAUUGGGUUAAAAACCUGACAAGUAUCCAUGAGGACGUGGGGUUUGAUCCCUGGCCUCACUUAGGUGUUGCUGCGAGCUACUGUGUAGGUCACAGAUGCGGCUUGGAUCUGGCAUUGCUGCGGCUGUGGUGUAGGCCGGCAGCUACACCUCUGAUUCCACCCUUAGCCUGGGAACUUCCAUAUACUGAGGAUGUAGCCCU